UUAAGCUAAUAAGAGCGCAGGGAGGAUGCCUUGGCAUCAGGAGCCGAAGAAGGACGUGGUAAGCUGCGAAAAGCUACGGGGAUUGGCAAGCACGAUAUGAUCCGUAGAUGUCCGAAUGGAGCAAUCCACAUGGAGUCAAGUCCAUGUAUCAUAUACUGAAUAAAUAGGUAUAUGAGGGGAACCGCCCGAACUGAAACAUCUAAGUAGGGCGAGGAAAAGAAAUCAACCGAGAUUCUGUGAGUAGUGGCGAGCGAAAGCGGAAGAGGCUAAACCGAGAGGAGCAAUCCUUUCGGGGUUUAGGACUGCAUUUAGUACAAUGAUUGUUAACCGAACAGCAUGGGAAGGCUGAUCAGAGAAGGUGAGAAUCCUGUAGGUGAAAACGAAAGUUGACGAGCAGUAUCCAAAGUACCGCGGGGCACGUGAAAUCCCGUGGGAAGAUGGGGGGACCAUCCUCCAAGCCUAAAUACUACCUGAUGACCGAUAGCGAAUAGUACUGUGAAGGAAAGGUGAAAAGCACCCCGGGAGGGGAGUGAAAGAGAACCUGAAACCCUGUGCUUACAAGCACCGAGAGCACGUCAAAGUGUGAUAAGGUACCUAUUGUAGAAUGGUCCGGCGAGUUAUUGUAUGCAGCGAGGUUAAGUAGUUCAGCUACGGAGCCGAAGUGAGAGCGAGUGUUAACAGCACGUUCAGUUGCAUGCAAUAGACCCGAAACCGGGUGACCUAUCCAUGUCCAGGAUGAAGUGAGGGUAAAACCUCAUGGAGGUCCGAACCCACUCCCGUUGAAAUGGUAGUGGAUGAGGUGUGGAUAGCGGAGAAAUUCCAAUCGAACCCGGAUAUAGCUGGUUCUCCCCGAAAUAGUUUUAGGACUAGCCUCGUGAUCAAGAUUAUCGGAGGUAAAGCACUGAAUGGCCUAGGGGUCGAGAGAUUACCGAAGCCUAUCAAACUCUGAAUGCCGAAUAAUCAUGCACGGGAGUCAGACUGUGUGAGAUAAGUUUCAUAGUCGAAAGGGAAACAGCCCAGACCUACAGCUAAGGUCCCAAAGUACGUUUAAGUGGAAAACGAUGUGAAGAUACGUAGACAACCAGGAUGUUGGCUUAGAAGCAGCCAUACAUUAAAAGAGUGCGUAAUAGCUCACUGGUCGAGUGACUUUGCGCGGAAAAUUUAACGGGGCUAAAACGUACACCGAAGCUUAGGCUUGUCACUAUGUGACAGGGGUAGGGGAGCGUUGAAUGAGGGGUGAAGUCGUAGCGAAAGCGACGGUGGACUUCAUUCAAGUGAGAAUGCCGGAAUGAGUAGCGAGAAUUAUGUGAGAAUCAUAAUGGCCGAAAGCCUAAGGUUUUUGGAGGAAGGUUCGUCCGCUCCAAGUAAGUCGGAAGCUAAGGUGAGGCUGAAAAGCGUAGCCGAUGCACAAACGGUUGAAAUUCCGUUACCACAGAAAGAUUUAAACUAAGGGACACUUUUGAAGAGCUGAUGCCGGGUGUUGGUUACCCCGGUCGUAAGGGAACGAAAUUAAGUAGUGAAGUCAGCGUGGAUGAAGGCGAGAAAAGCUUAGUGUAUAUCUUAUGUGUCCGUACCGCAAACCGACACAGGUAGGUAGGAAGAGAAUUCUAAGGCCAACGGGAGAAGGGUAGUUAAGGAACUCGGCAAAAUGUCCCCGUAACUUCGGAAUAAGGGGAGGUUUCUACGGAAACCCGCAGAGAAUAGUCCCAGGCAACUGUUUAUCAAAAACACAGCUCUAUGCUAAAUCGAAAGAUGACGUAUAUGGGGUGACGCCUGCCCGGUGCCGGAAGGUUAAGAGGAGGAGUGAGAGCCCUGAAUCGAAGCCCCGGUAAACGGCGGCCGUAACUAUAACGGUCCUAAGGUAGCGAAAUUCCUUGUCAGGUAAGUUCUGACCCGCACGAAUGGCGUAAUGAUCUGGGCACUGUCUCAACAGCCCGCCCGGCGAAAUUGUAGUACUGGUGAAGAUGCCAGUUACCCGCAACUAGACGGAAAGACCCCAUGGAGCUUUACUGCAGCUUAAUACUGAAAUUCGGUAGUACAUG
rnacentral:rRNA from 1 species